rnacentral:rRNA from 1 species
GACGAACGCUGGCGGCGUGCUUAAUACAUGCAAGUCGAGCGAGGUUACUGUUUUGGAUCCCUUCGGGGUGAAGAAGCUUUAACCUAGCGGCGGACGGGUGAGUAACGCGUGGGUAACCUACCCCAAAGUCCGGGAUAACAGCGGGAAACCGCUGCUAAUACCGGAUGCCUUUACCUUGGGGCAUCUUGAGGUAAAGAAAGGUAACGCUUUGGGAUGGGCCCGCGUCCCAUUAGCUAGUUGGUGAGGUAACGGCUCACCAAGGCGACGAUGGGUAGCCGGCCUGAGAGGGUGGACGGCCACACUGGGACUGAGACACGGCCCAGACUCCUACGGGAGGCAGCAGUAGGGAAUAUUGCGCAAUGGACGGAAGUCUGACGCAGCGACGCCGCGUGAGCGAUGAAGGUCUUCGGAUCGUAAAGCUCUGUCCUUGGGGAAGAAGGCGAAAGCUUGACGGUACCCAAGAAGAAAGCCCCGGCUAACUACGUGCCAGCAGCCGCGGUAAUACAUAGGGGGCGAGCGUUGUCCGGAAUUACUGGGCGUAAAGGGUGCGUAGGCGGCCCUUUAAGUCGGAUGUGAAAGCCCGCGGCUUAACCGCGGAAUGGCAUUCGAAACUGGAGGGCUUGAGUGUCGGAGAGGGUAGUGGAAUUCCCAGUGUAGCGGUGAAAUGCGUAGAUUUUGGGAGGAACACCAGUGGCGAAGGCGACUACCUGGACGAUAACUGACGCUGAGGCACGAAAGCUAGGGGAGCAAACAGG